GGAGGAGCGGCCUGGCUUUGUCUGAGUCAGGCAGCCCAGCGUGUGGGAUGCCAGGCUGGAUGUGCUGGGCCUGACCAGCCGCCCGCUUUCCUCUUCUCUUGCCUCUGCCUGCCCCCUGGUGGACAGCUGGGGUAAAGCAUGGGAGUGCGCCUUUGGGGUCUCAGUGGGGCUGAAAUACGACUCCUCCCCUAGGACAGCCUGCCUUCCCCAGCCUUGUUCUCCGGCAAAGUCAAUUUCCUGGAGAAUCGAGGCUCUGCCUCAGAUGUUCGGAGCCUCCGCAGGAUGAACACCUCCAUUUCAAUUCCAGGGGCUUUGAUCAACCUGUGCCUCCCUUGAUCCCCAACUUGUGGGCACCUUCCCUUGAGCAGUGCCCCCACGAGGUACACCUUUCCCGGGAAACAAAAAUCAUUCCUUCUUUGGGUCCUGCAAGCUGUAAAGAACCAAUACAGCACUGUGCUACUGAACAUGUUGCCACUAUAGAAGCCCCUUGUGUUUUGAAGAGUACAUCUCUAUAGCCAUUCGUUUAUUCAUCAGAAACCAGCUAGAAGCCAGGCCCUGUGCUGGGCGCUGGAGACAUGGAAGAAACUGGGCUGAGGCUCCCGCCUUGAAGAGCUUGUGGCCCAGGGAAGGGACAGUUCAUCUGUCAUUGAUUGCCACGUGACAGUGUCUAUGAUGCUAAAAAGAUGCCAGUGCUGUGCUGCAGGAGCAAAGGCCGUGGAGGAAGAGGCUUUGGCUUUGUUGCGAGUCCUUGCCAGAGCCAGGCAAAGCCAGUCACCGCUUUGUUCAGAUGACUCAGGUAAAUAAAUGAGGCCGCACAGGCUGUCCUGACACCACACACCUCUAGAAUACCCUGGCUGUGCUGGGAGCUAUUGGUGUCAGCUGAGUAUUUUCAUCCCUGUCCAAGUCACAAUGAUCUGACUGUACCAGCCUGUGUGGAUGUUGCUAAGAGGAGGCAGACAGCACCAUGAGCUCCCUUAGAUGACGAUCGGCAUGAUGUUCCUGCUGUGGCAGCGCUCAGCUCUUGCCAAUGCUCUUCUCUGCUUUGCUCACUUUAAGCCUCCCUUAAUUUUUUUGAAGCCCAGUUUCCACAUUGCUGAUUCACAGAUAUGCAAGACUCAGGCAGGAAAAAAAAAAGACUUCUUAGAGGACUUGGAAAGAAAAUGAAAUGACGUUGAACGAAAUCAAAGUAAAUUGAGUGAUCUGAAACGAUUUGAUGUCAGCAAGAAUUCCCCAUACAGCUCACAGCCCUACCCCGAGCACGCCUCCCUCUUGGGUAUGCUCUCUGCAGGCCCAAACCUUGCAGAAGCCAUUCCAUGUUUCCUGAGCAGGAAAAGACAAACUCAGACCGACAACCUUGGACUUCAAAAGACUGCACACAAGGGGAGGAAGGACUGAGAGUACCAAGGCGUGAGAAUUCAGAAUGCUGCUAUCUCAUUUAUUUUUACCAUUUAGGAAACGUUUUGAUCUGCAUUCCUUUUCCCUUCCCUGAUUUCAAAAAAUAAAAAUAAAAAUGCUUCGGU
rnacentral:lncRNA from 1 species